AACGAACGCUGGCGGCAUGCCUAACACAUGCAAGUCGAACGAGACCUUCGGGUCUAGUGGCGCACGGGUGCGUAACGCGUGGGAACCUGCCCUUAGGUUCGGAAUAACUCCCCGAAAGGGGUGCUAAUACCGGAUAAUGUCUCCGGACCAAAGAUUUAUCGCCUUUGGAUGGGCCCGCGUUGGAUUAGCUAGUUGGUAGGGUAAAAGCCUACCAAGGCGACGAUCCAUAGCUGGUCUGUGAGGAUGAUCAGCCACACUGGGACUGAGACACGGCCCAGACUCCUGCGUGACGCAGCAGUGGGGAAUAUUGGACAAUGGGCGACAGCCUGAUCCCGCAAUGCCGCGUGAUUGAUGAAGGACUUAGGGUUGUAAAGCUCUUUUACCCGGGAUGAUAAUGACAGUACCGGGAGAAUAAGCUCCGGCUAACUCCGUG
rnacentral:rRNA from 1 species